UCCUAAAAAAUGAGGAAACGAAGAGAAUGAAAAAUGAUAGAAAAUAUGCAUGGGUAGACAAAUAUUUGGAAGAUUUUCUAUGCAAUCGAAGAACAGCACUUUGGCUACAAGAUGUGGUUAAAGCAGAAGAAUGCGGUCACUUCAUUUUUUAAGGCCUGCCAGGAGUGGGAAAGAAAACUAUGAUUUGGGCUUUGCUUAGAGAAGCCUUUGGAGCCAACAACGUACAGGAAUGGACUUUGUAAUCCAAAGUGUCUCCAGGCAAGGGAAGAGUGCAGGGGAUUUUAUUUGAAGUGACGUCUCAAGGCUGGAGCCUGUAAAGUCACUAUGCACUGUGGUUCAACUCUUCCCACCUUCCAUUGAAGAGGAUUUUUGAAAUUCAUGCAAACAAAGAAGAAAUACAUUCACCUCACCAGUUGGCGGUUAAGUUUGCUAACAGCUCCAACAAUAACCUGAGACAAGCCAUACACUCAUUUGAAGCUACCUGGCACUUCAAUUCAUCCUUGACUGAAGAUCAAGCUAUCAAGACUGGGUGGGAAGAGAAAAUUGCAAAUCUCGCUAGAAAGAUAAUACAAGAACAAACCCCAAGGCAACCCUUAUUGAAGAACUGAAGAAGAAUCCUAAUGAAUACUUGCAGCAGCUACUUGGCAAUUUGUGUGAUGAAUACAAUAGAAAUCAUGAAGCUGAGAAGCUCGUGGCCUCUGCAUGUGCAUAGGAUCAGCAAGUGGAACUUAGUCAAUGACAAACUGAUUCUUGAAAGAAUGUGGAACAAUUUAUGAGGAUUGAAGUACAUAAAAGACACAAGGACAUGAAGAAUGCUUGAGUUUUUGACAAAUUCUCCAAAAGUACGAACUUAAUUCGAGGGGUGCAAAGUACUUACAUUCAAAGUCUCCAUUCUGAAAGGUAGGACAAAAUUUUAAAACACUUCUGACUAAAGUCCAGAAACAUUGCAGGCUUCUCAAGUGGCUUUCAGAUCAAUCUUUCAUUCAUUCAAAUCCAUCCAUCUGAAUAUCAGAAUAUGUACAAUAUUUAAACAUCAAAAUACCAAGUACUCUAACCAUAUAAAUAUCUGAACCUACCAAUUAUUGCUUUGAUCUAGAUUUUGGUGCCAAAUAUUGCCAUUUCAUGAGCUAAUGAGUGACAUAUUUAUGCCUACAAUAUAUGAACAGAAGGUCACUAGAAGCAUGGUACUUUUCAACUCGGUCAACAUUAACUGCAUUAGAGAAAGGAAAAAUAAAAAAUGGCUUGUGAAUUUGGGAUGUAUUGUGCUCAAAAGAUGUGCUUAAGGAAAAUCAAUUUCGGUUCAAGGAAUCAGUAUUUUUAGGAACAGGGAAAUCA